CCCCUCUCAGGGCCGCAUCUGGAGAGUUUCCUGUGCUCUACCAGUCUCGACUAUGGGAGGGAGAGUCAAGCAGAGGCCUACCCAUUCCAUUCCUUGCUUGGGCAGUAGCUAGCGAGUGGAAGGCCAUCUGCUACAUGU
rnacentral:snoRNA from 1 species